UACGUAGGGGGCAAGCGUUAUCCGGAUUUACUGGGUGUAAAGGGAGCGCAGACGGCAGUGCAAGUCUGGAGUGAAAGCCCGGGGCCCAACCCCGGGACUGCUCUGGAAACUGUACGGCUGGAGUACGGGAGGGGCAGGCGGAAUUCCUAGUGUAGCGGUGAAAUGCGUGGAUAUUAGGAGGAACACCGGCGGCGAAGGCGGCCUGCUGGACCGAAACUGACGUUGAGGCUCGAAAGCGUGGGGAGCAAACAGG
rnacentral:rRNA from 1 species